GAGUCGAGCCUGCCCAGUGAUAUAUAUUUAACGGCCGCGGUACUCUGACCGUGCAAAGGUAGCAUAAUCAUUUGCCUUAUAAUUAAAGGCUAGUAUGAAUGGUUUGACGAAAACAAUGCUGUCUCUUUCUAAUUUUAUAUAACUUGAUUUUUGGGUGAAGAAGCCUAAAUUAAAUUGAAAGACAAGAAGACCCUAUCGAGCUUAAAAAAAUUUUAUUAAAUAAAUAACUAUAAAAAGAUCAAGUAUAAUAAAAAAUUUUAGUUGGGGCGACUAAGGAACAAAUAAAGCUUCCGUUAUAAUGUUGAAAGCCCUUUAGCUAUGAUCCAAAACUUUUGAUUAAAAGAAUUAGUUACCGUAGGGAUAACAGCAUAAUCUUUUUUGAGAGUUCUCAUCGAAAAAAAGGUUUGUGACCUCGAUGUUGGACUAGAAUAUCCUAAAUGAUGCAGAAGUCUUUAAGGGUUGGUCUGUUCGACCAC
rnacentral:rRNA from 1 species